UACAGAGGUCCCAAGCGUUGUUCGGAUUCACUGGGCGUAAAGGGUGCGUAGGUGGCCAGGUAAGUUUGGUGUGAAAGCUCGGAGCUUAACUCCGAAAAGUCAUUGAAUACUAUCUGGCUGGAGGGUCGGAGGGGAGACUGGAAUUCUCGGUGUAGCAGUGAAAUGCGUAGAUAUCGAGAGGAACACCAGUGGCGAAGGCGGUUGCCUGGAGCUUUGCUGACGCUGAUGCGCGAAAGCGUGGGGAGCGAUCCGG
rnacentral:rRNA from 1 species